GUGAGAUGGUAGUUGCAGGGCACGUCAUUCCACUGUCCGUUCUCAUGCCAAAUGAUCACGACACAAUCUUCACCCGCCGAAAAGAAGCUGUCCGGUUGGUUUGGCCUCCAGUUUUCAUAUUGCUAAAAGAAUGGAAAUUUGGCUGGGAUACCAUACUCGACUCCCAAACCACUGCAGAGCCUUCAAGAAAGGGAAAAAUUAAAUCCAGAGAUGAGGAACCGAAGAAUUCUGUUAGUGAAUGAUAAAAUAGGAAACUUCGAACCAUCUAUAGACGUGGCCAUGCUAUUUACCUGACAGCUUUGAGAAUCUAUAAAUCAGAUCACUUCUAAGAACUGCUUUGCACAAAUUUCCCCUGCUUAUCACCAUGCACCUUUUUAGUCAGCGUUCGGCUGCAGAGAUC